rnacentral:rRNA from 1 species
GACGAACGCUGGCGGCGUGCUUAACACGUGCAAGUCGAACGGAAAGGCCCCCAUCUUGGUGGGGGUGCUCGAGUGGCGAACGGGUGAGUAACACGUGGGUGAUCUGCCCUGUACUUCGGGAUAAGCUUGGGAAACUGGGUCUAAUACCGGAUAGGACCAUGGUUUAGUGUCUCAUGGUGGAAAGAUUAUUGUUUUGGUGCAGGAUGAGCUCGCGGCCUAUCAGCUUGUUGGUGGGGUAAUGGCCUACCAAGGCGUCGACGGGUAGCCGGCCUGAGAGGGUGGACGGCCACAUUGGGACUGAGAUACGGCCCAGACUCCUACGGGAGGCAGCAGUGGGGAAUAUUGCACAAUGGGCGCAAGCCUGAUGCAGCGACGCCGCGUGGGGGAUGACGGCCUUCGGGUUGUAAACUCCUUUCGUUAGGGACGAAGCCGCACUUUUUUUGGGUGUGGUGACGGUACCUUUGUUAAGAAGCACCGGCUAACUACGUG